rnacentral:rRNA from 1 species
AUUGAACGCUGGCGGCGUGCUUAACACAUGCAAGUCGAGCGGUGAACCCUUCGGGGGGAUCAGCGGCGAACGGGUGAGUAACACGUGAGCAACCUGCCCCUGACUCUGGGAUAGCCUCGGGAAACCGGGAUUAAUACCGGAUAUGACAUUGCCUCGCAUGGGGUGGUGUGGAAAGUUUUUCGGUCAGGGAUGGGCUCGCGGCCUAUCAGCUUGUUGGUGGGGUGAUGGCCUACCAAGGCGACGACGGGUAGCCGGCCUGAGAGGGUGACCGGCCACACUGGGACUGAGACACGGCCCAGACUCCUACGGGAGGCAGCAGUGGGGAAUAUUGCGCAAUGGGCGAAAGCCUGACGCAGCGACGCCGCGUGAGGGAUGAAGGCCUUCGGGUUGUAAACCUCUUUCAGCAGGGAAGAAGCGCAAGUGACGGUACCUGCAGAAGAAGCACCGGCUAACUACGUGCCAGCAGCCGCGGUAA